ACCAAAUUGGGCCAGGUCAAAAUCAAGAGCUUGGAAUAGAAUUCAGUUCUCCUUCAGGAUGCAUCUAAAAUAUUUGUUCUUUGUUAAUAAAGCACUUUUGUUGUCUUGUCUUGCUUUAGUGCUUUUGAUCAUGGGUAAUAACAUACAGUCAUCUCUGAUUGGUGUGCAUCAUUCCUGCAUAGUUUCUCUAGGAAAAAAAUUGUGCGGAAAUGGAUGCGACUUCUCUCUUGGGCGUUUGGAGUUGCUAGAGAGUGGAGAGGCCAUGUGGCCUCGAGGAGCUCACGGGCAGGACUGCCCCAUCUCUGGGAGCCUUUGUUUGUACCUCUGCAUUGUGAUCUCACAUGCACUCAACUUCCAGGCUUCUUCCGAAGAUAACAAGGUCCUCUGGCUUUUCCUGACUUGUGUAGGCAUGCACAAUCCAUUGUUUGGCAUGCAGUUAUUAUUGACUUGGGAACCUAAUGGGAAAGUUGUAACUGACCCAGGUGGCGUCUCAAACAGAAUGAUGUGUACCACUGCAGCAUCGAACUCGAAGAAGACGUCAGAAGACAAAACACCAUCCAUGUUGACCAAAGCUUAAAAUCCAAGGCCUGGGGCCUCCUUCCAAAGGACUCUCAGCAACCCGGGACAAUAGCUGCGAUAACCAACCUGGAGUAAGAACAGCUCCUGGCCUCGAGCAGGGCCUCGUCCAUUAACACAGCUAGCUCAUCACUCGGAUAGUUACAUUUUAAGUCCAUCUCACAGAACUUAAUGUCUCCAUUGCUGGACAUAGCACAUUUUCCCUGUGUUAGCUGUGGAACUUUAGCAAGUUACCUAGCCCAUAUAUACCUUGGUAUUCUUAUCUGAAAAACAGGUAAAAUAUUAGCAUCUACUUGAUAUGACGGAGAGUAAAGUAUAAUACUCACUAAGGGCUAGUUUUAAUAGUUUAAUUAAUUCAUUACCUAAUAAUUAAUUGAUUUGAAACAUAGAGAACACAAGAAUACACACACACACACACACACAUACAUCCACACACACACACACACACACAGAAUGAACUCUCAUCUGCUGGUUCACUCCUCAAAUGCCUGCAAUUGCUGGGGCUGGACCAGGGCUAAAAUCAGGAGCCAAGAAUGAAAUCCAAGUCUCCCAUGUGGGUGGCAGGGACCGAAGUACUUGAGUCAUACCUGCUUCUUCCCAGGUUGGGCAUUCACAGGAAGCUGGAAUAGGAAGCAUAGUCGGAGUUUGAACCGAGACACUCUGAUAUGGGAUACAGGUGUCUCAAGUGGCACCUUAACCACUAGAUCAAAUGCCAGUCCUUUAAUAUGAUCUGUGUUAUUAUUCUAAGAAGAAAUAUUGCCCUGUGAUAACUCAUACCAGGUUGUAAGUAUAUUCAAUAAACUCACAUGAAUACAUUUAAUUACAGCCUUCUCCGUCUGGUUUGUUCUGCCAGUCUUUAGAUCCUGUAAUGGAUAAUACUGCAGUUCAAACAUGCAUUUAUGUUUAAAAAAAGAACUCACACUGAUAGUACAGCCUAAAAUAGCUUACAUAUUAUUGUUGUAUUUUGCUUGAUUUAAUAAUCAGAUUUCCACACUAUACUUAAAAGUCCUAUGAGCUGUCACUCUGAAAUGUUGUUGCUGAGUCAGAUGCAAUUCGGAGAUUUGCCCAUGAACUAAUCUGAAAUGUACCUGAGUUAAAGAUAAGGCAUUCUAGUUGGAACUAAUACUAAAUUCACACAUAUAGUUGAAUUAAUGUGAAAUUUAAUUGGAGAGUUUAAAGAUAAGAUAAAAAUGAACAUGAAAACUUUGAAAUUAUUUUUGUUUCCUUUUCACCUUCUGCAGCUGUGUAAGAUCUAGAUUAAUUUCUUGAUACAUAAACAAUCAUAAAUCUUUGAGGUAAUGGAAAUUGCAAAAUAAAAGUGAGAAGCAAGAGGUGAGGCGUGUGGUCAAAGAUAGCAGCCUGCGCCCAGGCUUUUCAAUUUUUUUUAAAGAUUUAUUUUAUUUAUUUGAAAAGCAGAGUUACAGAAGACAGAGAGGUCUUCUAUCUGCUAGUUCACUCCCCAGAUGGUUGCAAUGGCUGGAGCUGCACCAAUCCGAAGCCAGGAGCCAAGAACUUCUUCCAGGUCUCCCACAUGGGUGCAGGUGCCCAAGGACUUGGGGCCAUCUUCUACCUCUUUCCCAGGCCAUAGCAGAGCUGGAUUGGAAAUGGAGCAGCCGGGACUCGAACUGGUGCCCAUAUGAGAUGCUGGCACUACAGGUGGCAGCUUUACCCACUAUGCCACAGAGCCGGCCCCCGGGCUUGGGCUAUUACUCAAGCUCUCCGAAGAGGCUAAGUGGACAGCUGAAGAGGGCACUAGCUCCUUAGCUUAUCUAUGCCCUCUUUAUCUGAAAAGAAGAUAAAAUAAUAGCAUCUACCUGAUAGACAGUACAGGAUAAUACUUCAUAAGGGCUAGUUUCAGUAUUUUUAAUUCAUUUGCUCAUUCAUUUGAAAACUGGAGAGAUGGGGAGAGAAACAGACACCAAGACAGAGCUUCCAUCUGCUGGUUCUCUCCACAAAUGUCCAUAGCUUCUGGGGCUGGGAGCAGCUGUCAAGGUUGAGAGCAGGAAAUACAAUCUGGGUCGCCCAUGUGGAUGACAGGAAUCCAAGUAAUUGAGCCAUCACCUGCUGCCUCCACAGGGUGUUCAUCAGCAGGAAGCUGGAAUGGGGAGCAGGGUUGGGAUUGGCCCCUCAAAGUUUGAUUUGGGAUGCAGAUGUGCAGGGCAAGGCAUGGGGCAUGAGGUGGAUAAGUUCACCAGUGAGCAACAGGUCUCAGUACAUUCCCAUGACAGAAAGAGGACAGAGAUAACAGGAAGGCAGAACAGCCUCACCAUAGCCUCCCAGGGGCCAGAGAAUGACCUUCUUGGAAGGACCUGCAUCUCCAAAGCCCCGGCUGCAGGGAUUGGAGGCCCAGAAGUCAAGAUUCCUGCGCUUGCUGCCACUGCCUGGCUCUUGAAAGGGAAAACACUGCUUUUGAGACCCCUGCCAUUGUGUUUGCAUUUAUGUAAAUGUAUGUAUAUGUGCAUGUGGGCAUACAGACAGGAAAUUCCCCAAUGUUUUCACUUUAUGAUGGUGCAAAAAGGAAAUGCCUUUGGUAGAAACCAUACUUGGAAUUUGAGUUUGGCUCCCUUCUGGGGCUGGCACUGUGUGGUCCAAUCCUCUCUUGCAAUGCUGGGCAGCAGCAGGGAGCAUAGAGUCCAAUGAGCCCUGUGGUCACAAGGGGACUUGCUCUUCAAGGCAUUCUAUUGUAGAGCUAGGAUGUGCUCAACACACCCUAGAUGGAGUUAGAUAGAGUCAGUGUUCUUUCUUUCUUUUUUUUUUUAAGAUGUGUUUAUUUAUUUGCCAGUGGAGCUAUAUAUCAAGAGAGAAAGAUAGAGAGACACCUUCCAUCCAUUGGUUCACUUCCCAAAUGAUCAUAACAGCCAGGACUGGGCCAGACUGAAGCCAAUAACAGGAGCUCUAAACAGGUCUCUCAUUUGAGUGGCAGGAGCCCAAGUAUUCGGGCUAUCUUCUGCUACUUUUCCAGGACCAUUAACAGGGAGCUGGAUCAGAAGAGGAGUCAGGGCUCUAACUGAUGGUCUGAUAUGGAAUACUAGAGUUACAGGUGGAGGCUUAAACGGCUGGCCCCCACUAUGUCUAGCUUUGGUGGGAGAAAACUUUCAGAAACUACUGAGAGAGAAAAAUACAUAGGGUGGUGUUUCACAUUAGGACAUGAAUCAAGUAUCUGGGCUGAAUAGGUAUUUUUUAAAAAUAUGUACAUUUAAAAUCUGCAUUGUAUUUUGUCUGCAUUCUUUCCUUGGAAGUCAGUUGAGGGCAAAAUUAAGCAAAAUAAAAAAGUAAAACAAAGGAACAGGAAGAUAGGAUAUCCAGGAAAGAGCAAAUGCAGCCCAAGAGCACAGUGGAGUGACCUGUGGAAGGAACUGAGCUUCAGGCUUUCAAAGCAUCUUGUAGGACUGGAGUUGGGAGAUGGUGGCUUUGCAGGGGGAAUUUCCUGGGUAAAAUAGGAUGGAUUGAGCUUAGAAAAACAUGCAGCUGUCAUGAAAGCAAGUGAUCCAAGUGAAAAGAUAGAACUGUGCAUAAAGAAAGCCUGUAUGAGAAAGCUGUUGCUGGAAUAUGGAGUGAAUCAAAGUGUGGAAUGUUCAAGAAAGUAACAGUGUCUUAGAAGACGGAAUUCAUUUGAUCUUGAACAGAAACAGUAUAAUGUGAGUGGCCCAGAUGUUGAGAUCCUAGAUUCAGAGAAAGAAAAAAAUAAUGUCUGGUCUCUGAGCAGUAUGUACACACUCAUGUGGCUCUCAAUGCUGUUUAUUGGUUUCUCAGUCUUUUGGGUCAGCCUGUGGAAAAAAAAAGUAAAGCAUAAAUUGCAAUUCAGACCUGAUAUUGAAGGAAAAUGUAGAGCAGACACAGGAGGAGGCAGAGCAGUGACAUUCACAUGCAUUCUCAUCCUAAAGUGUGGGAGGGAAGUCAAGAAAUACAGCCUAGAGUUGACAAGGAAAGGAAAUAGACAUGUAAAGACAGAGGAUCAGUAGAACCAACAUACUCAUAUACAUGUCAAAUUUGAGAAUAAGGAUGUGGGAGCUUAAAUGAGCCUAAUUCUCAUGUCUUACAAAAAAGUCAAUAAAUAUUAUCUAACACUGUAAAUCAACAUGUAGAGGAAUGCAUAUAUUAUCUGGAUUUGUGGAGGCAGCCACCAUGAGAAAUAAGACAAAAUAACAACAACAGGAAGCAUUUAAAAUAGUUGACCUUAAGGAUGUGGCUGGGUUGAGGAGAGAAGGGUCAACAGGAGUCUGUUAUGUUUCUUUAUAAAGUUUUUUAUAUACUAUUUAAUUUGUUGUAUUAGUGCUUAUGGUUUAGAUAGGGUUUGAGUGCGUCCCCAGGUUUGAUAUGGUGGAAGCUUGUCCCUAGUUUGACAAUGCUGAGAGGUGAUGUGGCCCUUUAAGAGGUGGAGCCUUGGUUUAGUGGCCAUGCCACCCUCAGAAGGGACUGUGGGACUCCAACCUCGGGUAUCCUGCUUUCUGUUUGGAGACGUGAUCACUUUAUCCCACAUGGACUCCUAUGGUCUGGAUACUACCUGCUGUUAGGUCCUCACCAGAGCCAAGCCGUGCUGCUGUACCAGGUCCCUGAUGCUCUUGACCUUGAAGCUAAAUAAGCCUCUUUCCUUCAUAAAGUUCCCCAGCCUCAGGUGUUUCAUUAUGUUGUGAAACAAUGGACUAAUACCAAGGCCAGGUAUUACUUUUAUGGUAAUUAAAAGAUGUCAUUUAACAUUUGUCAGGGAAGGUCACACAAGUGGCUGUUAUGUAUAGUAUAAAAAGUUGCCCACUGUCACUGAUUACCAGGAAAAUGUAAAUCAAAACCACAGUGAGAUAUCUCCUCACACCUGUAAGAAUGUCUAUUCGCAGAAAAACGAAAGUCAACAAGUGUCGGUGAGGACCUGCAGGAAGGUCAACCCUUUAACAGCAUUAGUGGGAAUGUAAAAUGGCGCAACCAUUAUUAGGAACACAAAGAUUAAAAACAGAACUCCCCUAUGAGCCAGCAAUCCCACUUCUGGGUACAUGUCUUCAAAGGAAAUGAAAUCCGAAUGUGGAAGAGACAUCUGCAUUCCCAUGUUGGUUGCUGUACUACUUAUAAUAACAAUCAUGAUAUGGAAACAACCUAAGUGUCUGUUGAUGGAUGAAUGGAUAAGGAAAAUGUUAUAUAUAUGUGGUGCAAUAUGAUUUAGCCAUGAAAGAAGAAAAUCCUGCCUUUGUGACAGCAUGCAUGAAUCUCAAAGGUAUCCUGCUUAGUGAAAUGGGCCACGAGUACUGCAUGAUGGUACUUAGGUGUGGAAUCUGGAAGUCAAACACACAGGGGCAAUGAAGGGAGUGGUGGUUGCCAGGGGCUGGGGGAGGAGGACUUGGUACUUGUACAAAGACUCUGCUAAUAUGAUAAACAAGUUCUGGAGGACUGAUGUACAACACACUGACUACAUUUAAUAAUGGGCCAUUGUAUACAUACUUGACAUUUGUUAAGAGAGUAGAUUUAUUGUUUAAAGAUUUAUUUUAUUCAUUUGAAAGACAGAGUUAUAGAGAGGUAGAGACAGAAAGGUCUUCCAUCUGCUGGUUCACUCCUCAGAUGGCUGCAGUGGUUGGAGCUGCGCUGAUCCCAAGCCAGGAGCCAGGAGCUUCAUCCGGGUCUCCCACAAGGGGGCAAGGGCCUAAGAACUUGGGCCAUCUUCUACUGCUAUCCCAGGCCAUAGCAGAGAGCUGGAUCAGAAGAGGAGCAGCCAGGUUUCAGGCCAGGGCUUUAACUCGAUGCGCCACAGCGCUGGCCCCAGGAGAGUAGACAGAUCUUAAGUGUUCUCAGCACAUACACACAGGUGCUAACUGUGUAGCAUGAUGGAUAUGUUAAUUAGUUCCAGUGUGGUAAUUUCACAUGUAUGUAUUUCCAAAUAUGCUCUGAACUUAAAUAUAUAAAAUUUUUAUUUGUCAAUUAUACUUCAAUAAAAAUGGAGAAGAAAAAGGUCAUGGAUCAGACUCAUGGGUUCAGAUGCUAUCUCCACCAUCUACCAGCUGGGUGUCUUCAGGCAGGUGAUAUAACCUCUCUGUCUCUCCACUUUACCAUCUAAAAAAAGGGCUAGUAAUUACCAAUUCACAUACUUUUUGGUAUCUCACAUAGGCAAGGCCCUGAUGCUGCUCAGGGCUUAACACAGAGUGUUGCUCUUUUAAAUUAGAUUUUCAAAAGGAUUUUUAUUUGCUUUUUAUUUUAUUUGCAAGGCAGAGAGACUGAGAGAGACCUUCCACUUUCUGGUUCAACCCCAAAAUGCCCACAACAUCCAGGGCUGGGAUGUAUCCAAGAGCUUGGAACUCUAUCUGGGGCUCCCACAUGGGAGGCAGGGAGCCAAAUACAGGAGCCGUCACUUGCUACCUCCCAGGGUGCGCAUUAGCAGGAAGCUGGAUCAGAAGUGGAGUAGCUAAGACUUGAACCGGGUCGACAUAGGGGAUGCAGGUGUCCCAGGCAGAAAUAUAACUGCUGUACCAAAUACUCAGUUGUCAAUUAGCUGUUGAAUUAUUAUUUUCCAAGUCCCCACUUUCUCAGUAGGCUUGGUCUACUAGAGACUGGACUUCCAGGGACUAUUUUUGCACUCACUGUCACCUUAGCACAGCCAUCUUCUCUGAUCCCUGGCAGCAAGGGAGGGAGGGAGAGAUUGAAAUUGAUGAUGGGCAUGACUAUGUGGGAGGAUCUUAUAGGGAGACUGUGCAUGCAUGUGGGAAUGAAUGUGAAUGUACAAAGAGGUGGUCCGUGGUCACGGAGGACUCUAUGUGCACAGGUGAACGUGUAGCUGGUGUGGGAGAGUCUAACGGUUGUGCACGUGUAAGGGUGGAGGUGGGUCUGUACAGCCUCUGA